GAAGGCCCCACUGUCUUAAGAGAAUUCCCAGUGAAAUUGAAUUCGUAGUGAAGAUGCUACGUCCAAUUUGUUAGACGAAAAGACCCCAUUGAGCUUUACUGGAGACUUUCAUUGCUCGGAUCGACUCUCGCCCCCCUGUAGGGGGGGGGUCUAAUUUAAAUGGAUAGCUUAGAUUAUGUGGUGUCAUAACCAUCGAUCAAGUAGUCCCUACGGGAUUGCCCCGAAGGUUGACCUGUUUGGGUGAAUGAAACCCCACUCUUUUAUGUUAAAUGAGCUAACCCUUUCUUUCUUAAGGGGGACAAUGUAAGUUGGACAGUUUGGUUGGGGCGACCGCCUUUUAAAGAGUAACGAAGGUGUGCUUAAGGUACACAAUUAAUAUCAGUAGCCUGACUGCGAGGGGGAUUCCCCCGAGCAGACACCUAAAGUCUUCUCUCUUCCCCCCGAAGGUUAAAGACGAAUGGUGGGUUAUAGUGACCCGUUAAUUUAGAGUGGAAUAGUUAACGAUCAACAAAUAAAA
rnacentral:rRNA from 1 species